UAUUAUUGAAAAUUCAUGAAAGUGGGUGUGCAUGGGGUGAAAAGGGACUUUUCAUCCCAUGGACACCCACUUAUAUAUCUUUCAGUGAAAAUGAUCCAAAAAUACUAAUAACUUGUGUUUUAUUAAUUGUUUAUAAAUUUCUACAUGAAAAAAGCCAAACAAACUGCACAAGAUGGAUCUGUUCACUCACAACAUGAAAUACUUUCUCAAAUAUAGGUGAACAUAUUAUUGAAAGUUCAUGAAAGUGGUUGUGCAUGGGGUGGAAAGGGACUUUGCAUCCCAUGGACAACCACUUAUAUAUCUUUCAAUGAAAAUGAUCCAGAAAUACUUUAAACUUGUGUUUUAUCAAUUGUUUAUANCUGUUCACUCACAAUAUGAAAUACUUACUCAAAUUUAUGCGAACAUAUUAUUGAAAAUUCAUGAAAGUGGGUGUGCAUGGGGUGAAAAGGGACUUUUCAUCCCAUGGACACCCACUUAUAUAUCUUUUAGUGAAAAUGAUCCAAAAAUACUAAUAACUUGUGUUUUAUUAAUUGUUUACAAUAUUUCUACUUGAAAAUUACCAAACGAACAGCACAAGAUGGAUCUGUGCACAACAUGAAAUACUUACUUUAAAUAUAUGCGAACAUAUUAUUGAAAAUUCAUGAAAGUGGGUGUGCAUCGGUUGAAAAGAGUCUUUUCGUCCCAUGGACAACCACUUAUAUAUCUUC